GCGGCAGCCCACGCCUCCCAGGGAUUGCAGGCCUGGGCGCCGGGGUUGGACCAGUCUCCCGGGCAUGGCACGCCCUGGUUAUUCUGUACCCGUGAUUUGUGGCGGGGCAAGACGUUAAGUUGGGUGACACCGAGGUGAGCCACGGUCCUCGGCACCAGAUGAGGAACCACUGUCUCAAUAAGUGACACCAGUGAUGCUGUUAAACAAGGACAAUCCGGUUCAUGGAUUGUGACAACGCACGCUGACAUCAAGCAGACCCUGCCGUCAGCUGAGUGCCAUGAGAGGACAGUGACAACCUUGGGGCCUCAUGGUGAAGGUGGCAGAAACUUUGUUAGCCUGGGUGCUCAGGGUGGACAGCUGCUCUUGCCAACCGGGAACAUUUGCCUUGAGCUCUUUUGGAGGGGAAGCUGAGCUGGGGCUGAGGC
rnacentral:lncRNA from 10 species